rnacentral:snRNA from 1 species
GUAUUUGCUUCGGCAGCACAUAUACUAAAAUUGGAACAAUACAGAAAAGAUUAGUGUGGCCCCUGCGCAAAGAUGACAUGCAAAUUCAUGAAGCAUUCCAUAUUUUU